CUUUCAAGUUAUUCACGUAACAUCAAUUUUCAUAAAUAUAUAGAUCACCUCACGGGAAAUCGCCAAAUGUGUUGUGUGGAAUUUCCAACCUCAUUUGCUAAAUUUAGUAUUUUUUAUGCGUGAUUAUAAUUGUGCGCGAUUAUAAUUUCGAUUAUUUUCGAAAAAAGUUGUUGUGACUGAUUCUUCCUUUCUUUAAAAUUUAUUGAGAAUUAACUUGCACGAUUAAAAAAAUGUGUUUCUAAAAUUGUUACUAUUUGCACUUUACAGCUACAAUAUGGACAAAAAUAAAUUGUAUCAGGAUUUAUUUGCAAAAUUCAAAGCGGCAUAUCCUGAAAAAAAGCUCUCGAUGUGCAGAAUCAAACGAAAGAUUUUUAGAACGCCAUCAAAAAUCAAGAAAAUUUCAAAAUACUUCUGGAGCAAAAGUUUGCGGAAUUAUACCACAUUGAAUUGAAGAAGAAGAUCUCCUUGUUAUUUUUUUGGAGCAAAGCAGUACAGGACCCGUCAACAAAAAAGCACUCGGAAAAGGACAAAUGUACAAAUACCUCACAUUCAUCAAAAGGUGAAAGGCCCAAAAUUAGCGUCACAAGGUUUAUGGACGGUCCCCAACAGCAAUAUUUACAUCAAAUAGCGAGCACAAUCAAAGAUUCUGAGAACCAUCACUGGGGCACCGUGGUACGUUCGGAAGCAAAACAUCCAAAGUGACUUAAAUAUUCCACCAGUUAUCAAUGCAAUUACG